rnacentral:lncRNA from 1 species
CCACGAGUCCAAAAAUCUAAAUGAAGUCAAGAUGAUUGUAAACUACUAUGUAAGAUGAAAGCAACGUUUGUAGCAUGGACUGAGAAAAGUAUCCAUAAACCAACCACAAAAUUUAAAUGUGGAAAAUCUAUGAGAAAUCUUCUAAUAAUUGAUUGCUUUCCAUUUCAGUGGUGAUGCUAAAGAAUGUCAGUAUGACAUCAUGUUUAAUGGAAAAUUGGAAGAAUAUUCUGGUAAGAAAUUUGCUUCUCUCUUACCAGAAUAGAAAACUUUCUUUUUCUUAAUUUGCUGGUUCAUUUUCUAGGCAACUGCCCUUCUGUUUUGCCGUUUUAUCAGCUCUCUUUGGUCUGCGAGCGGGGAGGCCUCCCUUUCCUUGAUCCAGUUAUGGGUCUCCCUCUCUAUCCCUGAGUUGGAGUAUUGUUAUUUUUUUUCUUUUUUAUUUUUUGGUGGUGUCUUUUUGCAGCUGAAGCUAUUGUUGUCUUUUUUUCUUUCUUCUUUGGAAGUUUGCUUUUGCAAGGAUCAUUAAGGGAGCAAUCUAUGCUACUCUUGAUCUUAAUCUAGAGACAAGGUGUAGCAAGCAACUGCAUGUCUUCCUUGCAUGGCUCAAUCCUGCUUUUCCGAGUUUGUUAGAGCUCCAGGGUUGUUUGCCUUUGAUCCCUUAUUUCCUCCUAGCUUUGAUUAGUUUCCUAUGUCUGGUUUGAUGAUCUCGUCUGGGAGCCAACAGUUUUGAGAACUUUGUAUUUUCCUUCGGCGACAGUGCAUAGAUGGUCAGAUCGUGUUGCUGAAUCCGAGUUGGACCCCCAGAUUAGCCUGGAGUUUCUUUGGAUUGUUAUUCUUUAGGUUGUUUGCUAAGUCUUUAAUGAAUAUUUCAUUUUUUCUAAAAAAAAGAGUUGCAUAUAUAUAUAUAUAAAUAGUAGAAGUAAUGUGAUUGCCUAAAAUAAUGGAUCGUGAUAUGAAAAUUUGAAAAAAAAAAAAAAAGAAUUGUUUGAAAGAGCUUAUUGCUGUAAUCAUGCCAAAAAGUAGUCAGCAUUAUUGCCGGGGAAAACGAGGAGAUCAAACUCCUUGGUCCAUCCUUGCUCAUGUUGUCAAUUUUCUUCUUGCGUCACAUUCAACCGUCAAUGCAAUGCAUGACCAACAAAUUAUUUUGUAUUCCAAUUUAUAAAUAAAAAUAAAGUAUAUGUAAAUUUAUCAAGUAAAUUGAAAUUCUCUAGAUCUCUGAUAUUUGAUGAAGUUUUUAUGUUAAAAAAUUGUUUUUGUAAUUAAAAUAUUGUUCCUAACAUAAUUUUGAGCAAGUCCAGUCAAGAAUUGAAGAAUGAACCAAAACAUGUUCUAUUCAACCGAAAGUAUCCAUCCAAAAAAAAAAACUUACAAACUAAAAAAUAGAACUAACCCACAUGACCAAGGGCGAUUAAUUUUUUCUUUUCUUAAAAAAAAAAAAAAAACCACCUAAAUGGUAGAAAGGGCCAACCUCUGAGGCCCCUCUCCGACCAAUCUUGUCUCAUUUUCCACUGCCGCAUGCCCCUUAUAACAUGGAGGAAAUUAUGGCAGCUUUCCCCACCUCUCUCUCUCUCUCUCUCUCUCUCUCUCUCUCUCUAUCUAUCUAUCUAUCUCUGAAUCAAUCCCAGCAUAAAAGCUCCCAUAUAACACCAAGCAUACACUUAUUUCUUGCACCAAAGAAACCCAUCAACCACAGAGCCAGCAACCUUAAGCAAAGGAGAAAAGAAAAUUUUUUGAGACUCAUUCUCAUCACUUGAAACGAGUUCCAUCCACCCUUCCAAAUUUAACCCAUCAAAGAGCAAAGAGAAAGAAAAGGAAAGAGAUCGAUCAUCAUGGAGAUUGAAUCUGUCAAGUGUGAGUGUUGUGGAUUGAAAGAGGAUUGUACCCAAGUCUAUAUAAGUGAAGUGAAGGAGAAAUUCGGUGGAAAAUGGCUAUGUGGGUUGUGUUCAGAAGCUGUUAGAGAUGAAGUUAGUAGAGGUAAAAAGGCAUUUGGAAUGGAUGAAGCAGUUAGAGCUCACAUGUCAUUUUGUGGUAAAGUGAAUUCAAAUCCAGCUGUUGGAGUUGCUGAUGGGAUGAGGCAGAUGCUGAGAAGACGCUCAGGAGACUUGUCCUCUUCACCAUCUUCUUCUAAGAAGUACACGAGAUCAGCGAGCACCAAACUCUACUGAUCAUUUGGGAGGGAUCUUAAUAACUUGCCUGCAAAAAUUAACAUGGAUGGUUAUGAUCUUGUCUUGUAUGUACAGGGGAAUGAAUGUUAUUUCAAAGGAGGCUUCUUCUUAGUUUUGCUUUUUUUUCACUUUUCAUUUUUGGUAUGCUUUUUCUUCUUCCUUUAUUGGCUAAUGAGACAAAAAUUUUCAAGGGAAGAUCCCCCCAAUUUCAUAUGAAUUAGUCAAGUUCCAUACAUGGAAAAAUAAUUUUUUUUUUUAAAAAAAAAGGAGAGAAAAAGCCUUCAAAACCUUUCCUCUCUAUAACGUCUAUGGCAAAUGUAUAAACCUCAGUUUCAAGACUCUGGAGGAUUUCAGUUUUUCUCCCCUUUCUCUUUUUUACUGCAAUAUUAAGGGUUAAAAAUAUUAAUCCUCUCCCUUUUUUGAUUUUUUUUUAUUUUAUUUUUAUGACAAUUUUUUUCCUCCAAUCAAACUAACCAUGGAAUUUGACAUGGCAGCUUUGGAAAUUUUGAGAUAUAUUGUCAUUGAGCUGUUUAAUAAAUUCAUUAAAUCUAUGAUUUAUUUUAUAAAAAAGAAUUUAAAUAAAUUUUUAUAAAUUUAUAUAAAAAAUUAAUUUCUUUUAAAAUGAAAAACAUUUAAAUUAAAAAAAAUAAUUUUUUUAUUUUAGUUAAAAAGAAAAUCAAAAUUUAAAAUCAUGUGAAAUUCUUAGUUUCGUACAGGGAAUAAAAGAAAAUGAAAUUUAACUAACAUAUUUUCUCCUUAAAUUCUCUCCCUGUAAUAAAAUAAUUCAACUUAUUUAUGGACUAUUUCGCAAAUCAAUUUAGGAAAAAUAGAUAAAAUUAUUGUCUGAAGAUUUAUAAACAAUAACUUGCACAAUUGUUCUUGAUUCAUUGUGGCAAUAAGAUAUUUUCCUAGCUGGCUGUACGUUGGAUUUCAAAAAUAAAGAAAAUCAUAAACAAAAUCUUAAGUUUUCCAUUAUUAAAAUACAGCAAGCAAUAAUUAAGGGUCAACUUCCCACUACACCUAGAAACGACUGUUUCAACCUUAUGCCAUAAGCAAUUUGAAUGAUUAUUUAUUAUUUUCUUGCCCAAGUGGUUGUUCUUGAAUCUUGAUAAUAAUUAGUGAUGAAAAUGCAAAAAUGACUCAUAUUCAUUAACUAACAACAUUAAUUAGCCUGUGGAUAUUAAUUAAGGCCACUUCUUUUUUAU